UCAAGCUACUAAGAGCUUAUGGUGAAUGCCUUGGUGCCAAGAGGCGAUGAAGGACGUAGUAAGUUGCGAUAAGCCACGGGGAGCCGCAAGCGGGCUUUGAUCCGUGGAUCUCCGAAUGGGACAACCCAGCCAGUGUCAUAACUGGUUAUCGUAGGAUGAAUUCAUAGUCCUCCGAAGCGAAACGUGGUGAAGUGAAACAUCUCAGUAACCACAGGAAAAGAAAACGAAAUGAUUCCGUCAGUAGUGGCGAGCGAAAGCGGAACAGGCUAAACCGGGGAGACUUGUCUUCCCGGGGUUGUGGGACCUUAAUGUGAUAGGCCGAGAGUUAGCUGAAUCUUCUGGAAAGUUGAGCCAAAGACCGUGACAGCCGGGUAAGCGAAAACUCAAAGCCAUCUAUAGGUAUCCCAAGUAACACGGUGCACGUGAAACUCUGUGUGAAUCUGUGCGGACCACCGCAUAAGCCUAAAUACUCCUUGGCAACCGAUAGUGAACUAGUAACGCGAGUGAAAGGCGAAAAGAACCCUUGUUAAGGGAGUGAAAUAGAACCUGAAACCAUAUGCUUACAAUGUGUUGGAGCCGCGUAAGCGGUGACAGCUUGCCUUUUGCAUAAUGAGUCUGCGAGUUAUUGUCAGUGGCCAGCCUAAGUCUUUUUAAGAUGGAGGCGAAGGGAAACCGAGUGCGAAUAGCGCGACCAGUCGCUGGCAAUAGACCCGAAGCGGAGGUGAUCUACUCUUGAGCAGGUUGAAGUUUGGGUAACACCAAAUGAAGGACCGAACUCGUGGAUGUUGAAAAAUCCUGAGAUGACUUGAGAGUAGGAGCGAAAGACUAAUCAAACCCCGUGAUAGCUGGUUCUCUCCGAAAUCGCUUGAGGGCGAGUCUUAUGGAAGUUCCCGGCGGAGGUAGAGCACUGAAUGGCUUAGGGGCCCCACCAGGCUGCCAAAACCAAUCAAACUCCGAAUUCCGUCGGUCUGUAUCAUAGGAGUCAGGCUGCGAGGGAUAAGCUUCGUAGCCGAGAGGGCAACAGCCCAGACCAUCAGCUAAGGUGCCUAAAUGUGAUUAAGUGGAAAGGAUGUGACUUUGCUUAGACAGUGAGGAUGUUGGCUUAGAGGCAGCCAUCAUUUAAACAGUGCGUAAUAGCUGACUCAUCGAGCGAGGUCGCGCCGAAAAUGAUUGGCGAUCAAAUCACAUACCGAAGCUAUGGAUUCCAGAGAUUUUCGAAUCUUUGGAGUGGUAGGAGAGCGUAAUCAGUGCAGCGAAGCCGAACGGAAACGGACGGUGGAGCGCUGAUUAGUGAGAAUGCAGACACGAGUAGCGAUAAAGCAGGUAAGAAUCCUGCUCGCCGUAAACCCAAGGUUACCUGGGCUAGGUUCGUCCUCCCAGGGUUAGCCGGGAGCUAAGAUGAGGCCGUAAGGCGUAAUCGAUGCACAUCAGGUUAAAUAUUCCUGAGCCCGCCGGGAUUAAGGCUGCGAUAGACGCAUGGGAAGACAUCAACUAGACAAUCGAAUGUUGAGCCUAGGCUUCGGCCGAAGCGUAUUGGUGGGUUUCUGUGCCUAGAAAACAUUGCAGUUGUUUCCCCGACGGCCCGUUCCGUAAACCGACACAGGUGGGUGAGUGUAAAUGCACUCAGGCGCGCGAGAGAAACCUCUCUAAGGAACUCGGCACAUUAGCCUCGUAACUUCGGGAAAAGAGGUGCUCACUUCGGUGAGCCACAGUAAAUUGCGUUUAGCGACUGUUUAACAAAAACACAGCUCUCUGCUAAGUCGUUAAGACGACGUAUAGGGAGUGACAAGUGACCAAUGCGGAAAGAUUAAGAGAUUUUGUUAGCCGCAAGGCGAAGCUCGGUCUUUAAGUCCCCGUGAAUGUCGGCCGUAACUAUAACGGUCCUAAGGUAGCGAAAUUCCUUGUCGGGUAAGUUCCGACCUGCACGAAUCGUGUAACGAGUUGACCGCUGUCUCAACGAGGAGCUCAGCGAAGUUGUAGUGGCGGUGAAGAUGCCGCC
rnacentral:rRNA from 1 species